UGUGUUCAGUGCAGCAGCUGCGAGGAUCGGAGAAAACUCUCUCACUCACCCUCCCGUGUCUCGGAUACUUUACGGUCCAACGGACGCGCCGCCCGCCCUGUUUCCAAUCACCCGUUCGGGAGCGGAGAACCGUCCCGUCUUGAGAUGAUGUCGAGUCUCGGUCUGUUCGUGUGUCUGGUGGUUCUGACGGUGUCCGUUACCGGCGGCAGCGACGGAAACCCGCUGGACAAUGAUAAGUGGAUGAGCACCGUGUCCCAGUACGGCAAGAGCAAAUACUGGAACAAAUUCCGCGACGUGAUGACUUCAGAG